rnacentral:rRNA from 1 species
UACGUAGGGGGCUAGCGUUGUCCGGAAUCAUUGGGCGUAAAGCGCGUGUAGGCGGCCCGGUAAGUCCGCUGUGAAAGUCGGGGGCUCAACCCUCGGAUGCCGGUGGAUACUGUCGGGCUAGAGUGCGGAAGAGGCGAGUGGAAUUCCUGGUGUAGCGGUGAAAUGCGCAGAUAUCAGGAGGAACACCAAUUGCGAAGGCAGCUCGCUGGGACGUGACUGACGCUGAGGUGCGAAAGCGUGGGGAGCAAACAGG